UCCACAUAUAAUAGACUUUGCCACGAAGGCAUAUGUAACAGAUGCAGCCACAAAGGCAUUCAUAGAGUCAACCAUUAAGGCUUCAUAUAAUAGAUAUCGUUGUAAAGGCUCACGUAUAACAAAGAGCAGCCACAAAGGCUUUCACAUUUCAAUAAUGGCAUUUUUAACGAUAGGGAUUUGCCUAAAAUCAAAGUCUUGAGGUUUUCCCCUCAUCGCCUAGUACUCACCCAACCGUUCUUUAUUUUAUUUCCCCACAUGACGCCAUAGUCCCAAACUAG
rnacentral:lncRNA from 1 species